AUUGAACGCUGGCGGCAGGCCUAACACAUGCAAGCCGAGCGGGGUUUUCGGACCUAGCGGCGGACGGGUGAGUAAUGCGUAGGAAGCUACCCGAUAGAGGGGGAUACCAGUUGGAAACGACUGUUAAUACCGCAUAAUGUCUACGGACCAAAGUGUGGGACCUUCGGGCCACAUGCUAUCGGAUGCGCCUACGUGGGAUUAGCUAGUUGGUGGGGUAAUGGCUCACCAAGGCGACGAUCCCUAGCUGGUUUGAGAGGAUGAUCAGCCACACUGGAACUGAGACACGGUCCAGACUCCUACGGGAGGCAGCAGUGGGGAAUAUUGGACAAUGGGCGCAAGCCUGAUCCAGCCAUGCCGCGUGUGUGAAGAAGGCCUUCGGGUUGUAAAGCACUUUCAGUAGGGAGGAAGGAUGUUGUGUUAAUAGCACAGCAUCUUGACGUUACCUACAGAAGAAGCACCGGCUAACUCUGUGCCAGCCGCCGCCGUAACAC
rnacentral:rRNA from 1 species